AUUGAACGCUGGCGGCAUGCCUUACACAUGCAAGUCGAACGGUAACGGGCCUUCGGGUGCCGACGAGUGGCGAACGGGUGAGUAAUACAUCGGAACGUGCACGAUCGUGGGGGAUAACGAGGCGAAAGCUUUGCUAAUACCGCAUACGACCUACGGAUGAAAGCAGGGGACCGCAAGGCCUUGCGCGGACGGAGCGGCCGAUGGCAGAUUAGGUAGUUGGUGGGAUAAAAGCUUACCAAGCCGACGAUCUGUAGCUGGUCUGAGAGGAUGAUCAGCCACACUGGGACUGAGACACGGCCCAGACUCCUACGGGAGGCAGCAGUGGGGAAUUUUGGACAAUGGGCGCAAGCCUGAUCCAGCCAUGCCGCGUGCAGGAUGAAGGCCUUCGGGUUGUAAACUGCUUUUGUACGGAACGAAAAGCCUUCUUUUAAUACAGGAGGGUCAUGACGGUACCGUAAGAAUAAGCACCGGCUAACUACGUG
rnacentral:rRNA from 1 species